rnacentral:lncRNA from 1 species
UGAAACCGGUCGUGUAGGAAGAUGCUGGGGAAAUGCAAAAAUCUGAGAAAGAGAAGGUAAAGUUUUGAAUUUCUUAACGAUUUAGAAAGGCGGCUUAGGAUAAUUAUGUCAGCUUUAUUGAGGGUGGAUUAUCCGACGUCUAUAUGCUGUGUUUCACUACGUUUUCUACAUGCGCUUAUACAAUGUGA